rnacentral:rRNA from 1 species
GACGAACGCUGGCGGCGUGCCUAACACAUGCAAGUCGAACGGGGUAAUUUCUUCGGAGAUUACUUAGUGGCGAACGGGUGAGUAACGCGUGAGAAACCUGCCUCUCAGUGGGGGACAACAGUUGGAAACGACUGCUAAUACCGCAUAACAUAUUUGAAGGGCAUCCUUUGGAUAUCAAAGCUUUAUGUGCUGAGAGAUGGUCUCGCGUCUGAUUAGCUAGAUGGCGGGGUAACGGCCCACCAUGGCGACGAUCGGUAGCCGAACUGAGAGGUUGAUCGGCCACAUUGGGACUGAGACACGGCCCAGACUCCUACGGGAGGCAGCAGUGGGGAAUAUUGGGCAAUGGGCGAAAGCCUGACCCAGCAACGCCGCGUGAAGGAUGACGGUCUUCGGAUUGUAAACUUCUUUAAUUGGGGAAGAAUAAAUGACCUACCCAAAGAUAAGUCACGGCUAACUACGUG